GCACACAUGAACCGUCUGGAUCCAACAGAGAAAGAUGAUUUUCUGUGGUGUUUUAAAUCUUUGACCUGGAUAUGAGUUUGAAAGGUGUGCAUGAUGGAUGUUUCUGAGGAGAGAGAGGACGAUGUUUCUACCUUAAAGGCUGCUCUGUCUGAGCAAAAUGAUGGAGAGACAGGAAAAAAGAGCCAAGUGAACCAGGAGAGACCAGACUCACCUGUAACUGGUGUUUCCUUCAGGAGUGAUCAGUCUAUGAAAUUACCCAUAGCAUUUAAGGAUGGAGAUCACCCUG